GAAGCGGGUAGAGACCACAGCUCAGGGCCUGAGAGGACGCAGGUCUGUAAAAGGGCCCAGAAGACGGUCGGGUCCCUGGAGAGAUCCCUCCAGCAGGAGGACUGGAGCAGCUCAUGGACCUUUUCAGCCCUAGGUGCGGAUUCUGGAGGGAACUGGUCCUUGUGGCCGGUCUGCUGGCCUGUGGGAUCUGCCAGGGUUCGGCCCAGAUGGACAUCGCCUCACUCACAGGAGUGGUAGGACAACAGAGCCUGCUGGUCAUCAGGAAUGCCCCUGAAGAUGUUCAGGAAUACAGCUGGCACCGGGGUGCAAAUGACGCUGAGGAAAAUCUGAUUAUCAGUUACAACACCACAUCUCAUUCCCAGCAGAAGGGGCCCAAGUACAGUGGCCGGGAAAGCGUGAUUUCUACUGGUGCCCUGCUGAUUGAAGAGUCUCGACUAAAUGACACAGGGAACUACACCGUGCAGGCGGCUGCCAUCAAUGACACCCAGAGAGCAACUGGCUGGCUCGAGGUUCAAGAGUUUGAAACCCUGGACAUCUCAGUCAACGCCAGCAUCGUGCUAGAGGAUGUGGACUCCAUGGCUGCCAUCUGCCACACCAACAACACCGAGGUCCAGUGGUAUGUGGCCCACACACUGGUGUCCAGCUCUGAAAGCACGGCCAUCUCCCCAGACACAAAGACCCUCAUCAUCAAAAGGGCCAAGAACUAUGACUCGCUGCUGCAGUGUGGGGUCAAAAUCGUCUUAGGGACUGUCAUUCAGAGAAGUGAACUGAUCUAUCUGACGAUGGCCUGUGAGUGUUCUGGGGUCACGAGAGGGAAGCCAAGGGUGGCAUCAGGGUUUUCAAAGGACGUGGCCACAAGACAGGCAGAACUGGUGAGAGUGGCAUGAGAUGCUCUGCAGACAGCUGUCCUGGGUUCAAAUCCCAGGUCUGGCUGUUUAAAUCUUUGCACUUCAGAACUAUCCUUACUGCUCAGACCCCUGGUUCACUCAUCCUAAAAUGGGGCCCCUCAUCUCUACUUCUCAGAUUAGAAAUAUGAUUUUUGUGGACCUCUGUCUUUUGUGUAAAGAUGUACUGGCCUACAACCAAUUGUCUCUUACAUUGGCUUUCCAGUUCUUAAGUUUUCAAAACCCAGCUUUCCCUGAGCCUUCCAAAUCAGCUCAUAGAUCAUUUUACUGAGUUCUUCAUAGAAAGCAAAAUUAUCUUCACUCCUUCUAAUGGGAUGGAAUUGAGUACACUCACUUAAAGAGUUCAAUUUUAAAACUAAGGUGUAGGCAUAUGUAAAAUAGAGAGCCAGAGAGAGUUUGAUGUAUGACACAGGGAACCCAAAGACGAUGCUCUGUGACAACCUAGAGGGAUGGCGUGGGUUCUACCCACGGAGGUGGGGGGAUCAAGAGAAGGGGACACACGGCCGAUGCAUGGCAUAUGCAUAAAAUGUAUAAUACGCAUAAUAUGGCAUAAAAAUCAUCACAAGUAACUAUCCUUCAGUUUUAAAAUAAAUUAAAAAAAUAUAAGGUAGGCAUUGCAUACAUGCUCUGUUUUUAUAACCUCUCUGCUGCCCAACCAUGCAAGUUGGCAAGCCUGCAAGACCUACUCAAAUUCUCAAACAGGUCUUGCAAAUCAAAGACACUAAACUCAGAAUUGCGAUGAAACUCAGAGUCUUUGAAAUGUUCCAAGAUUGUACAGAUUGAUCCAGUUCUUGCAUCUCUUUCAACCCAGGUCUAGAAUCAUUUCCCGUUGAAAUCUGCAACUGCAUUUGCAGGCUCUCAGAUUUCCUUACCUGUGGGUUGUGGCCACAGUGCCAAGAAAGCUGUUGCAGAGGUGACAGUCUCUGACCUUCCAACACAGCUCACUGGUCAGAGGUGUGGAAUCAAACUCAAGGACCAGGGGCUGCAGAUGUUCAGGAAAAUUCCUCCCAGUUCAUAGGGGUACUUGCCUGGUCCUUUUGUAGGUCAGCAGGGGAUUCGGGAAUCCCUAAACCUCUCCUCUGAGCCUCGUUAUCGCCAUCUAUGAAAUGGAUCAAGAAUGGCUGUGGUCACGUGGGUCGUGUGGGAACUAACUGAGUGUGUGAAGGUGUAAAGUGUGCAGAACAGCACCCGGCAUGCAGUGGGCAGGACGCCCACUUCUAUUCUACACCUAUAUUAUUAUGACACAAAGGACAGCCAGGCAGCUGGCUUGUAAUGGACCCUCUUAUGUAAUGAUCCUCAGCGAGCCCAGUAACAACAACGGCAUCCUGCCUGCUGAGAUCGGUUCCCAAAUGGAGAUGGUGUGUGUUUUCAAUGGCGCGCCAGAAUCCAAGUACC